CCUGGCUCACGUUGAACGCUAGCUACAGGCUUAACACAUGCAAGUCGAGGGGCAGCAUGGUCUUAGCUUGCUAAGGCCGAUGGCGACCGGCGCACGGGUGAGUAACACGUAUCCAACCUGCCGUCUACUCUUGGACAGCCUUCUGAAAGGAAGAUUAAUACAAGAUGGCAUCAUGAGUCCGCAUGUUCACAUGAUUAAAGGUAUUCCGGUAGACGAUGGGGAUGCGUUCCAUUAGAUAGUAGGCGGGGUAACGGCCCACCUAGUCUUCGAUGGAUAGGGGUUCUGAGAGGAAGGUCCCCCACAUUGGAACUGAGACACGGUCCAAACUCCUACGGGAGGCAGCAGUGAGGAAUAUUGGUCAAUGGGCGAGAGCCUGAACCAGCCAAGUAGCGUGAAGGAUGACUGCCCUAUGGGUUGUAAACUUCUUUUAUAAAGGAAUAAAGUCGGGUAUGGAUACCCGUUUGCAUGUACUUUAUGAAUAAGGAUCGGCUAACUCCGUGCCAGCAGCCGCGGUAAUACGGAGGAUCCGAGCGUUAUCCGGAUUUAUUGGGUUUAAAGGGAGCGUAGAUGGAUGUUUAAGUCAGUUGUGAAAGUUUGCGGCUCAACCGUAAAAUUGCAGUUGAUACUGGAUAUCUUGAGUGCAGUUGAGGCAGGCGGAAUUCGUGGUGUAGCGGUGAAAUGCUUAGAUAUCACGAAGAACUCCGAUUGCGAAGGCAGCCUGCUAAGCUGCAACUGACAUUGAGGCUCGAAAGUGUGGGUAUCAAACAGGAUUAGAUACCCUGGUAGUCCACACGGUAAACGAUGAAUACUCGCUGUUUGCGAUAUACAGCAAGCGGCCAAGCGAAAGCGUUAAGUAUUCCACCUGGGGAGUACGCCGGCAACGGUGAAACUCAAAGGAAUUGACGGGGGCCCGCACAAGCGGAGGAACAUGUGGUUUAAUUCGAUGAUACGCGAGGAACCUUACCCGGGCUUAAAUUGCAGAUGAAUUACGGUGAAAGCCGUAAGCCGCAAGGCAUCUGUGAAGGUGCUGCAUGGUUGUCGUCAGCUCGUGCCGUGAGGUGUCGGCUUAAGUGCCAUAACGAGCGCAACCCUUGUUGUCAGUUACUAACAGGUUCCGCUGAGGACUCUGACAAGACUGCCAUCGUAAGAUGUGAGGAAGGUGGGGAUGACGUCAAAUCAGCACGGCCCUUACGUCCGGGGCUACACACGUGUUACAAUGGGGGGUACAGAGGGCCGCUACCACGCGAGUGGAUGCCAAUCCCCAAAACCUCUCUCAGUUCGGACUGGAGUCUGCAACCCGACUCCACGAAGCUGGAUUCGCUAGUAAUCGCGCAUCAGCCACGGCGCGGUGAAUACGUUCCCGGGCCUUGUACACACCGCCC
rnacentral:rRNA from 1 species